GAUGAACGCUGGCGGCGUGCCUAAUACAUGCAAGUCGAGCGAAGCGGGGACGGGUGAGUAACACGUGGAUAACCGCCUAUAAGACGGGGAUAAUUUCGGGAACUGGGAGCUAAACCGAAUGCUUCUAGAUGGAUCCUCGCUGCAUUAGCUAGUUGGUACGGUAACGGCUUACCAAGGCAACGAUGCAUAGCCGGCCUGAGAGGGUGAUCGGCCACACUGGAACUGAGACACGGCCCAGACUCCUACGGGAGGCAGCAGUGGGGAAUAUUCCGCAAUGGGCGAAAGCCUGACGGAGCCAUGCCGCGUGGAUGAUGAAGGUCUUAGGGUCGUAAAGCACUGUUAGUAGGGAGGCGGUACCGAAACAGAAAGCACCGGCUAACUACGUGCCAGCAGCCGCGGUAAUUC
rnacentral:rRNA from 1 species